UACGUAGGGGGCUAGCGUUGUCCGGAUUUAUUGGGCGUAAAGAGCUCGUAGGCGGUCUGUCGCGUCGGCUGUGAAAUCCCGAGGCUCAACCUCGGGUCUGCAGUCGAUACGGGCAAACUGGAGUGUUGCAGGGGAGACUGGAAUUCCUGGUGUAGCGGUGAAAUGCGCAGAUAUCAGGAGGAACACCGGUGGCGAAGGCGGGUCUCUGGGCAACAACUGACGCUGAGGAGCGAAAGCGUGGGGAGCGAACAGG
rnacentral:rRNA from 1 species